CUCACUUGAACCAGACAUUGCCUAGAAACAGAUCUGACAAGAAAUGUAGCCAGCCAAAUGAGAUAAGGAUUAAUUAAGAGAAAGACUUGGAAGGACAAAUUUAAUCCCACAAGUUCAUGGCCUUCUUUGUGUACCCCUAUGAGAUUUUUACUGCAGUGUAUUUAAUAUUCUAUAGGAGGGACUAUGGGGAGUAUCGACCAGCGAAACCAAGGGGCCUCAGACGCUGCUGAUUCCCCAAUAAGAAGCUUGGCCUCUUUGGGCCUCUUCUUUCCCAAUGUGGAAACGGGAAGAAUAGGAUAAGAAACCCAGUUCUCCAGUGGGAGUGGGGAGGCCAGCACAUGGGAGGAGCAUAUCGAAUCACCUGGGGUUUCACCCUUGUGGUUUUCGUCCUACUUUCCAUAUACGCCAUGAGAGUGGGUGUCUCUCUCUGGCCCUCCUUGACCCCUCCUCAAAUACGAUUGUAGGAAACCCCUGGGUGCUCCGGAGCAAAACGAAGCUUCAGGCCUAGGUGUUGCUAAGAAUUUGUGACUUAACCUUGCUUUUGCUUAGGACUUCAGUCUAUGAUCAACUAGAUCUGCCCUGAGACAAUACCUCGGGACCCCAAUAUUCCCAGAAGGAAAUAGAAUGCAAAUACAGGGCUGGCUUUAAAAUAUGUCCACAGAUUCCUUGACAAGCCUCUCAAAUGUAGGAUCCUCUUGAAUGUAGUGAAUUGUUUCUGGUGAACAAAGUAUGGCAGACAUGAUGCUAUGUGACUUGGGAGGCUAAGUCAUAAAGCCUACCUGCUGCUGUCUCAAUAUCGUGCUCCAGGGAAGUCAGUUGGUUAGCAGUCACGUUGUGAGGACAUUUAGGCAGUCUUACAGAGAGGUCUACAUGGAGAGGAACAGAGGCCACCCAUCAGCAGCCAGCAGCUCCUUGCCAGCCAGGUGAGUGAGCCCUCUUGGAAGUGGAUUCUCCAGGCUCAGUCAAGCCUUCAGUGACCGCAGCCCCAGAUGACAUCUGACUCAGCCUCAGGAAAACACCUGAGCCACAACCACCUGGCCAAGCAGCUGAAUGGAGGUCACAAAGGUUACUGGACACCAGGACAACCAAAGAGACAGGCACUGCACACGGCCAGUGCGUACAAGAGAGAUCAUUCAGUGUGGCCAGGGAGAUAAAGCAAACAGAAAACCCUGCUGCAGCAAGGCCAAUGAGAGAAAACAAACUACCUAAGACAGAGAUGGAGAAUCCGGGGAAAACGUGGAAAUGGUUGUUUCAUCACUGCAGCUGAGUCCAGGAAAUCCAUGAACACAUCUCCAGGAAGCAAACUGGGGACAGGCGGCCUGACAGACAAGUGACCAGUGGAAAGCUACCAGAGGAGGCCCAUGACAGCUGCCGGCUGUCCCUUUUGCUACCCACCCCCCUCCCCAAGCACCAUGCUGGCCUCAGGAGCUCUGCAGCUGCCAGAUGUGCACCCCGACACCCCCCCCCCCCCCCCCCGCCGCAGUCUUCCAGCCAGACCAUCUGAAUUUCUCUUGGCUUGAACAUCCCUGGGCCACUUGAUAACUAUUAUGCCGGACCUCAUUGCCUCCUUGCUUCUGUAGGAAAGGGCUGGCACCUGGGUCAAUGUCUUUGGUAAGAGCGCAUGAAGCUCUCCGUGAGGUCUAACCCUGCCCAGCCCCCAAAACAUCUACUUUGGAGAAGCAGGAACCAAGAUCUACCAAGAUGCUGUGGGGAACACAAGACGUCCCCUCUGCCGCUUCUGUCUCUGGAUAUCUUUGUAUCCCAGCCACGUGGAAGGAAAAUGUCGCCCAUGUGGUCAAUGUCAGGGCUCUAGCCUCUUAGGGAGAGACUACAGCAACUCAGUCUCCAGUUUCAGUUCUUAGAGAACACUCUGAGUGACCCAGUUUGGGUCAGGUGCCUGCCCCUCAACCACACAACAGUGGCCUGGCUGGGCCAGGUGUGGAGGGUGAAAUAUCACCAUGAGUGAACAUGGCUAUUGCUGCUGCCAUGAUAUGUAAAGAGAAGGGCUGAUAAUUCUUAGAAACUCUGUGAGCAAAGAACUCAACAGGUGUUCAUGACCAGGACAGCAUUAAAAGUGGCCCAGCCAGUUGAGUGGCUCAGUCGGUUAAACGUCUGACUUCGGCUCAAGUCAUGACCUCAGGGUUUGUGAGCCCUGCAUCAGGCUCUGUGCUGACAGUGUGGAGCCUGUUGAAAUUCUGUCUCUCUCUCUCUCUCUCAAAAAGAGGGAGGGGGCAGCCAAGAAGCGAUUUACCUAUCUAUGAGGAGGUUAAAACUCUUAUAGGGAAAAUACUAAACUUGGUGCCAAGCAAAAUUUAUUUUCAUGCCAGCUCCUCGCUGACUCCAAAUGCUCCCAAUAAGUGAUGCACACACUACUAAAGAAUAGUUGAAAGAUGACCAAAUAAUUGCCUUCCUGACCAUUCCAAGCAGAAAAACACAAGAAGCCAUCUGAUUAAUACAGAGUUAGUACAUAAUGUUGGAAUAGUCUAAAUCGGAUUGCAUGCUAACUUGGGUUCUUGAACCGCUAGCUGAAUACCUCUGGCACCUGUAGGUUUUUUUCUCUAAAAUACAUAUUAGGCUCAAGUUCCAGGUACCUUGAAUAAAAGCUUUUUCCCCACAGGAAGAGAAGUGCAUCAUUUAGCACUGAGGUCAGCAAACUUAUUCUGCAAGGGGCCAGAUAGUAAAUAUUUUAGGCUUUGCAGGACAGACAGUUGCAAUAACUCAUGUCCGUGGUUGAGGCCUGAAAGCAGCCAACGUGUAAACAAAUGGGCAUGGUUGUGUUUGAACAAGAACUUCUGAAAACAGGCAGCAGGCCAGAUUUGGCCCCCAGGCUGUAGUUUGCCGACUCCUGAUCUAGCAGAUUACAGUUUCCCUUCAUAGCAAACCAGGUUUGGGAUAAUGCGGUGGGGCUCCCUACCCAGGAAGGCACCUUCCUCCUCACCGGAACAUUUCAGGGAAGAAGUCAGGACUUGCCUCUCCUUCCUCCCAACGCUCCUGAGAGGGGCCUUCACCUCUUCAUCAGUCCACGCUCAUGCACACUCACAUUGCACACGCACGCUUUUGCUAGCUGUCUGUUUUUCUCUCUCUUCCCACUCUGGUCUUUUGUUCUCAGCAGAUUUUCAAGUGGACGAGCCGAUGUCUGACCCGAGUCUCACUGAGGUCUGCAAUAUUGUUUAAAUAGCGCCACGUUUUCCUGGGAAACAAUGGUGGGUGGCUCUUUCUCUAACAGGAAACUACACCUCUGACAUGUGCAUUUUUAUACUCUGUCUUCCGGCUGGGCCAUAUAAGUAAAAAGGCCUGUCCUUAGCAGAUACCAGUGCUGGUUUUUGAAGCCCAAAGCAAUUUCCAAUGCAUGAAACCUCCAGAAAAGGAAAGCCAUUGUCGCCCAAGAAGCACAAAGAUGCUUUAA